CGAUGUUUUCUCCUACUUUUGAUAGGUCUGGUGGGCAAGUUUGUUCCUUGAACAGCUUGAUUUUCAUUAGUUCCCAACUUUCAUUUUUGUCAAGAAAACGAAGUUCAAGAAGUACUCUUUCAAAUUUAAUGUUGGAAGCCACAUUAAUGUUUCGGCUGGUUAAUAAAAUCCUGCUUCCGUUUUUAUUAUCCGGUAAGCAUCUGCUCAAGUAUUCCCAUGUGUCAACACUCCAUAUGUCAUCAAUGUAGAGAAGGUACUUCUUUCUUAACAGAAAUUUCCGCAAAGCAUCUGCUGGAUUUUUCUCAUUCUGUUGGUUAGAACAUUUGACUUGAUUUAAAAUUCCGAGCAGCAACUUUCUUUUGUCGUAAGUUUGGGAAACACGACACAUAGCUUGGAUGUCAAAAUAAAGCCGCAUUUUCUCAUCAUGAAAAACUUUCUUUGCUAGUGUAGUCUUUCCAAGACCAGGCAUCCCUACAAUAGACACAACAACUAGGCACUUUGGUCCUGUAGUGAGCUGUUCGAUUAGCAAGUCAGCCUCGUUCUUAAAACCCACCAUUACCUCAUCAGGUAGUGUAGUCUCAACUACUUGUCUGACAGGAUUUGGUGCUUGUUCUUCGAUUGGGACUUCAACUUCUUGCGUAAUCGUAGCAUGGAACUCUUUCAAAUGAUCCCUUACAACCUUAGUUUCUGUUGUGAUCUUACAUAACAAAUGUAGAUACCAAACAGGAUAAUCUCCGGUAACCAGGCAAUCAAUUAUGCAUUCUGCCUGGUAUGCUAGAGAUAUGACUUCUGUCCAUAGAUCAUGUUUCUUCACCUCCUCAAACUCAUGUUUUUUCUUCUCAACUUCCUUCAAGAAGUAUCUUAAGAGAUAUAACUCUUCCUGAGCUUCUUCAAUAAGAUGCUUGACAACAGAAUCACACUUUCCGUCUUGCAGCAGCUCUUUCAGAUAGCGUAAGAGAUAAUCGAUAAACCCCAAUCCAUUUGUCCUAGGAAAAUUACAUUUUGAUGACACUACAUCUUUCAGAAUCACAUCUUUUAGAUCUUCCAUGACAUGUUCAAUCUUUUUUAACAAGUCACUGAAUACCGAGUUAACUUCUGCUGCUUUGUCAACGGAGAAAGAGAAAGCAGCAGAUACUACCUCAGCAAUCGAAAGAGAAAGCAACAGAUACUACCUCAGCAAUCAGACCUUCAAUGCAAGUAAGUUUGUCACUCAUUUUUUCCUGUAUAACAUAUAAAUCUUCUGGUGGACAAAUGAGCAAAGUUACCAAUUGCUUUGAUGCUUCGGCAAGGCUUUUGAUUUGAUCCUUUUUAAGAGGAAGCAUCAAAGAACAUGCCUCACCGUCUGAUAACUCCAACAAAUCCUUGAAGAUGAAAUGAACAAAACCUUCAACAAAUUCUAUCACAUCCCGGCUGUAUUGGAUUUGCAAUUUAACUGAACCUCUUAGAGCUCCAGUAUAGAUUUCUGCAACGUCCGGAUCAAUGGGCUUGAUAUAUUUCAAAACAUGAGAGAUUUGAAGUGUCAACACAGAUGCUGAAUCUCCAUCCAUUUCUUCCACAUAACAAAGGUAACAUAUGUAUGCAGCAUUCACUGUGAUGCCCUCUAUAUGAUUAAAAAGAAUGUUGGAUUUCUCUAGCUCCAUGCUUGCAUCUUUUAUGAAAUUGAGGAAGGUUUUUAGAUAUUUUAGACUUUCUUCAAGGACUUGAAACUCUUUCUUCAGAAGUACAAACUUGUCGAAAUCUUUCUUGUUGAUGAGAAGAUCCUUCACAUUCUGAAGGAUGUGCUCAAUGAAUUUCUGAAACACUGGGCUGCAUAAAUUUGGUAAAGGCCACCUCCCUGGAACCAAUGAAAGGAGAAACUUAUAACCUUCUUUGACUUCAGCAGAAGAUAAGUCUGCCCUUGGUCCCGAGACAGUGUCACCGACUUGCAUUCCAUGUUCGCGCAAUCUCCCCUCCUUAAUCCUUCCUUUUUGAGUUGCCCAAAACAAAAAAGUACCAAGAAAUCUCCUCUCUAUUUCAGACAUUUGUUUUCCAGCAGAAUUUCCUCAGAGUGGAUAUAUGUCGACAGCUCUGCAAGCAAAGAGAUUAAAAGCAAAUCACAUUCUAGGACAAACAAUGCAUACUCCAUAAUCUAGUUGCUCUUCAUAUUGCGUGAAAUUAACACAGAAUUCCUUUAUAUGUUGAUUGCACUCUUCCUCUUGUAUCAGAACAUUAUGCUUGAUUGUAACUAACAAACAGAUAAUAUUUAAGAAAAAGAUGUGUGUGAUCACAAAUAACAAAAACUGUUUGGUUGCACUAAAUGUUUUCUGGAAAAUGUGAAGUUAUAUCUGAAAGUCACAAUGCAUACUCUUAACUCUACACAACUAGGGGAAUGGGGAAAAAAGUCACCAGGAAAAACAAUAACAGAAAAAGAACUGGUUCCAAAGAGUUCUGAUUGUCUACUACUUACUUUUGCCUAAACUAGUUACCCUUUGUUAAUCCAAGCAAGUGAAAUUGUACAAUAACUGAUACUAGGGUCAACCUUCAAUAUUUCUUAGAGAAUUGUCACGAUUUGUUUUUUGAUGCUCAGGACAAAAUAGUGACUUUAUAUAUCAAUGCUACUUAUGUGAUUUUGAUUGUCAGGAAGUUUGCUUCAAAAUAGUUAUUACUAUAUAAAUAUUUUCCUUUUGUUUUUCUUAUUUACUAUUUCUUAAUAUUUCAGUAUUUUAGACGAAGAAAGGUUCAUAUGACUUGUAAUAACGCUAGUUGAAGUUUGUAUUAGUUUAAUACUUAUUAUUUAUUUAAUAGCUAAUUUUUAUGCUAUAAAUAUUUUUAUUAAUGCAAAUAUCUCUCUCUCUCUCUCUCUCUCUAUAUAUAUAUAUAUAUAUAUAUAUAUAUAUUUGUAUUUAAAUUAAGGUAUUAUAUAUGUCACGACUCACAAAUGUAUUAUCAAGUUAACAAAAUCUUCUAACUUCAAUAUAUAUUAUUUUAAAAUGUUCCGAGUUCUUUUUUUUAAAAAAAAAAACUCACAACAAAUGUGAAAAUAUGUGAACAUAUAUGAAUCAUUUAAAAUUUAUCAUUAACAAAAUAAACUUUAUAAUCUGUAAUAUAGAAUAAACAUUUUCAUUUUGUCCCUACACUAAAUUAAAAUCUAAUCUAUCUAUCUAUAAAAGGAGAAGAAAAAGUGCCACGUGUCAGCACCACAAAAAAACUAUAAUUAUUAUUAUUUAAAAAAUUAAUUAAAAAACUGAUGGUAAAAAAACAAUAAUUACCAUUAAAAAAAUUUAAAAACUUAUUUUUAAAAAAUAUUUAAAACGGUCAAUUAGUAGUUAGUUGUAGAAAUGGGGUAGUUUUUUUUCCAUUCACUUUUAAAAUUUAUCUAUAUAUAUCUAAAAAACAAAACAUUUUAAAAAAACAUAAAUAAAAAACAGUUUUUAAAAAUUGUUGACCAAUAAUUUUUUAUAUUAUUAUACAGCCCCUAUAUAUGUGAUAACAUGGUGUUAUUUUUCCUUGGAUGAAUUAUGCUUAAGUUAAUAAAUUGAAAAUCGUUUACAAGUAUAUGAACUAUAUCUUUGUUGGGUGUAAGAUAAACAUGUGAUUAUAUAUAUGAUUUCACAAAUAGAAUAUAUUCUUUAAUUUUAAUUUUUAGUUUUUCGGGUAAAAAAAAAAAGGAAACUUUUCUCAGUUAACUAUGGACAGUUAGAUAACUAUCUUUGAUUUAUGUACACAAUCAAUCGAGAAGUCAAAUAUGAGAACCAACAACAAGAAUGUCAGUUAUUAUGUUAUAACUUACAAAAUAAAAAUUAAUAUACAAAAAAUAGUUCUAAAAAAUAAAAUUUUGUUGUUUUCUUCACAUGCUCAUAUGGCAUAUAAACAGUUUAACAUGGAAUACACGUGCAAAACACAUCUGGUUUGACAAGAAAAAUACACAACAAAUAUCGUCUAUAAGGUAAUAUUAGUGAGAUACGACUAAUUACAUGAUUGAACCUCAUCAAAUUGAAAUAAAUAUAUACAUUAUUGCAUUUAACUAAUAAAUUUCUUCAUUGACCAUCUUCAUAGGUUCGCGUGAAUAAAAGAUAUAUAUGACGAUCCACAUUGAACAUUCACAAAAGAAUUUGCAGUAUUAUUUUGUGCAAAGCUUAUUAUUCAAAUCUUCGCUUAAUUAAGCUAGCGGGUCACAGACGGAUUUCUCGGUUAUCAAAAAAAAAAAAAAAACUAUUUACUAUAACAUAUAUUUUUUGAAUUGGUAAUCACGUAUCGAAAAACUAGUUAAUACAAAUUAAGUUUGUUCAAAAGUCUAUCACGUACCUUUUGUAACAACUUUGACAGAGCAGAAAACAGUGAUCCAGGUUUCACUACUUUGUUCUAUACUUUUAACCAGAAAGAAGAAUGAACAAGAGAUUUUAGGACUCCGGAGAGCAAAGUCCCGUACUUGCUUCCCUGACUAAAUAUUUUCACUUAAUAUAAAGCAUAAUAAUGAAAUUAAAUUACACCUAAUGAAGAAUUAAAAAUGAUUCAACUUUAUUGUUGCAUUAUACCCCAAUACAUUGCAUUUCAUUAUGGCCACUUGUGAUGGUUAAGAAAUGGAAAAAAAAAAGAGUUGACCUUAAUACAUAUAUAAUCUUAGAGGUGUUGCUUUCAGCUAAUGCCACUUGCACAUAGAAAAUAUGGCUGAUAGCCUUACCAGGAGACCAUUUAUUAAAAUAUGGCAGGAAGUUAGUCAGAUAUAGCUCUAAGGUCACGACUCGGUAUCAUAUUAGAUCAUUGACAUCCCACAUUACCUUUUCAUUACUACUAAAUACCAACUGCCUAUAUAGAAAAUUAGUUCAAAGCCCUGCUUUUCGCCAACUUCAGAAUUUUGGAAAUAGAAAGGAGAGUUGACCUUACCUUAAUCAACGGAGUAUAUAAUAUUGAUCUUGGAGAAGUGUCUACGAAAUUUACCUUUUCGUAUGGUAGGAAAGAUGGUUUUUCUAUAUAUAUGUUCAUUUUUUCUUACACAACUCCAUAGCAGCCGUCUCUCUCUCUAAUUAGAUCAUUGAAAUAUCUCAUGAUUUACGGAAGAAAGUCCUCAUUUGCUGCUACCAAUUUCACCACUUUGUCAAACAUCAGUUAAUUGGCAAAGAAAAGUCAAAUAAGACAAAGUUAAACAUUCAUCUUGUCAUUGAUUUCACUCAUGAUAUUAUUAGUAUAGAAAGCAGAAUGAGGUAUACCAUAGACUGUACAAAAAAAUAGUCUGGUAAGAAAAAUAGAGCGUUAGCGAUCAUCUGUUAUCGGAACUAGCAAUAUGGAUCCUAACUCAUUAGAUCUUAAGCUAGCCAACUUGUAUAGGUGUUUCAGUACUAAUUCCCAUUUGAGAGAGAAUUUUAAACUUGUUUGUUGAAAUUAAUCCAACACAUUGACGGUGAAGCAAUAGUCCAUUACAUUGAUAUAUUACACCCUAUGUUCCUAAACACGUUGAAUGAUUCCCUGGUUAAUCUAGACGUGAAGAUCACUGCCCUGACGGCGAUGAGUAACUUCAUUCAACGGGUGGGAGUUCAAAGGUAGGGAGAGGUUUCAGGAUCUGUUGCCUGCGAUGAUGGACAUGCUGAAUGAGGCAUUGGAAGAAAAUUGUGAGGCAUCAGCUCAGUCUGAGUUCGAGAUUUUGAUUGAGUUGGCCAAGAAUGAGCCUAGCUUCUUCAGGAUGCAGCUUGUGGUUGUGGUGGGUUCCAUGUUUGAUAUAGCUGAAUGUGAGAGUUAUGAAAAGAAAACGAGACAUUUGGCGGUUGAAUUCGUGAUGACAUUGGUUGAGGCCAGGGAGAAGACCCCUGGCAUGAUCAAGAAGUAUCCAUUGUUUACUGAAAAAUAUUUUGCAAUUUUAUUGAAUUUGUUAAAGGAUGAGGUUUAUGACCCUCUCUUGCCUGAUCCUUAUGGUAGAUGGGAUAGCAAUGAUGAUUUAGUUUUUCUUAAGAUGUGUUUAAACCGGUUGUCCAAUGCGCUGGGUGGUAAGACUGUUGGUCCUGUUGCCUUUGAGCAGCUCCCUGCUUACUUGGCUGACGACUCGUGGCAGAAGCCAUGCGCAGCACUCUAUGCACUUGCUCAGAUUGUUGAAGGCUGCUCAGAGGUGUGUAUUUAUUGAUACACUACUAAGAAUUGCAUUUAAACUGAUUAGUUAACGAUCUUGGGAUAGCAGAAGGUCACCUUGAUUAUACUUUCUUCUGUUAUUCUCUAGACUAAGUACUUUGCUUGCUCUCAUCUCUUCUUCAUUAUAAUAGGUGAUGAUUAAGAAUAUGAAUCUAGUGGUGACAAUGGUUCUGGAUUGUAUGGGACAUCCUCAUCCUGGAGUCAGAUUCGCCUCCAUGGAAGCAAUUCGCAUGUUUUUGCGUUUAAUGCGUCCCCAUUUUCAAGAACAAUGUCAUCACCAAGUAGUGCCAGCAUUAACCAAAGCUAUGGAUGAUGACAGUGUACAAGUGCAGGUCUGUAUGUCCUACGAUGAUAUGAACUCCUUUGGAUGCUCGUAUCAUAUGUCCCAAAUUACAGUUGCAAAAUUUUCUUACUGAACCUUCUCAAUGGGCUUAACUUUAACUUUAUUAGAUAUAAUCCCUGCUCUAACUUUACUAUCUUCAUAUUUUCCUAGGUCAGUGUCAUACGCACGGUCUGGAAGUUCCUUGAGGUUGGCACGCCUGAAUAUUUGACACUUUACAUCCAUGGAUUACACAAUAAAUUGCUUCAACUGUCGUCACAUACUGUUGCGGCGGUACGUAUUGUAGACUAAGUGCAAGAGAAAUCAGAUCAUUUUCUUGAACAAUGAACAGACAAUAUUACGAAUACAUUUAAGGGAAACAACCAUAAUUUCCAAGUUCCCAAUAUAAUUAUCCCGCCCUCCUUUAUAAAUUCAAAGCUUGUUACUCCCUUGAAUGUCCUUGAGGUCUUUACUUGCCUGAUUUUUUUUUUUUGUUUUUGACAUGAAAGGUCCAAAAAUCAGCGUCACUUGUACUCGAUCGUUUGCCUAAGCAUUUUAAGGUAUUACCUAGUAAUUCUGCUUCAACUUUUAUUAAGAGUAUGUUGUAUUAAGCUGGUUAUAUAUAUAUUAAUAUUAACAUUACUUCAACAGGAGUUCUAUGGGAACAACUACGAAUCUAUUAAACCACUUUGGAAAGCUUCCCUGGUAGAAGCAAAUUUUCCAAGUAAAGAUGUAGAGAUGAUCAUGUCAAUGCGCAAACCUGGCAGUUCGGUAUUUCCAAAACAGGUCUUCCACCAGUUAUACCAAAUGGAUUCUAUACAUCUCACUGAACUUAGAGCUUAUUGUUUAUUCGUUUUCUAUUUUUCUAUUUAGAACUUAGAGAUUAUGGAAGCAGUUAUGUCAUUACAAGGAUCACAAGAGGAUGAUAAGGAUACAAGUACGAUCUACAAGCUAGAGGUAUGUGUUGUUGAGAAUAUCGUUAACUAAUAAAAUGGUGUUCUCUCUAAUAGCUUAAGCUUUUAGAUGAGAUGGUCACGCACUUCAACAUGUUAUCAGAGCAGGCAGAGGCCCUGGGAUCAAAUCUCUUCGCCACCUUUCAAAUUAAAAAGAAUUUCCACGUGCUAAUCAGUCAGACAUUCUUUCAAGAUUGGUCUCUCUAUAUUUCUUGAUCUCAUUGCAGGCUAUUAGUGUAAUUUGUGAGGACAGAGGGAAAGAUUUUCUUCCUUGCACCAGCAUUGUCAUGCCCCUUUUGUUUCAAUGUGCUCAACUCGAACCUGAUAAAAUCAUAUUAUCUCCAGAUUCAGACCAUACUUGUUUAGCUGAUAAUAGGUACGCCUUUUUGUCUGAUCAUUGCUCUGAGUGAUCGCCUUUUUAUGUACAUUAUAACAUCUUGCAGUAUACACAGAGUCAAGGUUGGCAAUUCAACGAUAUGUAUAAAAGAAAGUUCCCUAAAGAAGAAAGCUUUAGCAUGUAAAGCCCUAGUCAUGGUUGCUUACAAAUUGAAGGAAGACUUUUACCCAUGGAUUUUCCAGGUUGUCACACUUGGACUUCUCUCUUUUUCUUUCUUUCUACCCGUGCUUUUGAUCGCGAACUGAAAAUUUGACAAGUGGUUUCAAUGGCCUAAUGCUUGAUAAAUGAUACAGACUGCUUCAAUUUUAUUUCCACUUUUGAAAUUCCAUUUCAAAGAGGUCAGGUUCCAUACAGUUGAAGGUGAGAUUUCUCAGGAUUUCACAUAGUUAAUUUCUCCGUCUUUUAUAACUAUCUGAUCACCUCCAAGACUUUUUAAUUUGUAAUGUUUAUAGCGAUGAAGCACCUUUUGCAAUCUGCUAAACUGGCUGAUGAGAAAGGGAUUGCUCCAGGUGAAAGCCAUUCGGAUUUCAAGCAGUUUUCGGACAGUAUAAUACUGAAUUUGGUGGAAGCUUUGCAUGAGGUUUACUUUUAACAUUAAGCUUCUUCUAUUUGGAUAAUGAGAAAGUAACACUUUGAUUUCUAUAUAAUGCAGGAGCUUGAAACAGAGAUAUAUGUACAUAUGUUGUAUACAUUACGACUGUGCCUUCAGGUUCGUGAUCUUUAAACACUGCUUAUUUGUUUUGAUCCAAAGUUUUCAGUGUUUCACUAUGAGCUAGGUAUGAAGUUUUUUGAAAAUGUUGCCUAUGUGGACCACUUCUCAAUGAAGAUCAGCUUCGUCCAGUCGUGGAUGAGAUAAAGCAUGUCAUUACAGAAAAUUUAAAUAGCCAAGGAAAACUCACAGAGAGAGAAAAAACAGAAGACUUCGAUGCUGAGGAAGCUGAAUUGCUGAGAGGGGAAAAACAUCAACAAGAUCAAAUAUUUAAACUUGUAUGUUCUAUAUUAAAACAGGAACUAAAGUGAUACACUGUUGUCUUUAUAUAUUCAAGCAUUUUCGCUUUGGUUCUGCUGUUAUUCUUGAACAGGCUGGUGGCAUAUUAGGUAGACUAAUCGAAUCAUUCAAGGUUGUUUUCUUGCCUUACUUUGACGAGCUAUCAUUAUAUCUGAUUCCGAUGUGGGUAAGUUCAUUGACACUAUUGUAACAUGACGUUAGUUUAUCAUUAUUCAUAUCUAGCAUAUCUUAUUGUUUCCGAUUUUUGUUAAGGACAAAGAAAUGACAAGUCUAGAGAGAUGUACAUCACUUUAUAUCUUUGGUGGUCUUGUGAAGCAUUGCUCUGAAGCAGCUCUAAAGUGAGUUUAAUUUAUCUGUAUGAGUUUUUCUUAAAUUAUUGGGGUGUCACCAUUUUGAUAAAUCACUUACUUCCUAUGCCAACUAGGUACUGUAAUGAAUUUCUACCUUUGCUUCUGAAAUCAAGCAAUGACGAAAACCCAGCAGUUAGACAGGUUUGGAUCAUCGUGAUUGCUUACAUUCCUGUUACUCAAGUUGGUUGCUCACAGUAUGGUUUAACCAAAACACCAAUGACUUCAUGUUCAGAAUGCUCUACAUGGACUUGGGUUUUAUGCAGAAUAUCAUGGUUCUGUUUUCAAACCUUUUGUUAGAGGUAUUAAUAUUGUUGAAUGUGAUACUUCUAAUCAAGCAAGUGUUUUUGUUAACUUACGCGUUUAUGUUCAGAGGCUAUGUCACGGAUCAAUGUAGUGAUAAUGCAUUUACGUGCUCGUGAACCUGAGAAUGAACUUGCAUAUGAUAGUGCUGUUUUUACCCUUGGUAAAAUAUUUCAGUUUCAUCGAGAACUUAUCGACUCAGCCCAGGUUUGUCCUUCUCAGAAUCCCUAAUGUUAAGUCUUGUUAUAAUUUCUGAUUCUGAAUCCUUGUGUAGGUCAUUCCCAUUUGGUUGAAUUGCCUGCCUGUAAAAGGUGACUAUGUUCAUGGUCAACUAUGUUCCAUGGUUGAAAGGUAUUGGAUUUGUUUGCAAACUCUAAUAUGUCAUAUCUUCAUAAAAUGCAGGAUUUUAUCCCACGUUUAGUUGAAAGUAUUAUGUAAUCAUAAGACUAUUUAUCCCACCAUUUAUACCUUAGUGAUGUGAUAAGUUAUUUCAUUCCGAAAUAGUUGAUGUCAGGAUAACUUAUUCCAAACCAAAUGACCCAUUAAUGAUUUAUCAAAUUUUCUCAAUUUCAGGUCAGAUAGAGAACUUUUGGGUACCAAUUAUGAACACUUCCCAAAAAUUAUGUCAAUUUUUGCAGAGGUUAGUUCCAUAUCAGAAUCUAUAGAUGCCAGUUUGAGUUGUUUAUUUGCUCCUGAUAAAUAUUAAAUGAGAUAAGUAUUGAAAACAUUCUUAGAUUAGGUGUAAAUUAUUAAUUUCAUAAUCGAACUAUUGACAAUCUUAAAAACACUCAAUUCUUUGACUAACUAAACUUACACUUCUGAUCUUGCAACAUGACCGAAAUACAUCCCUAAUUUAGGGGUGCUUUCAACACUCCUCUAUGAAAUAUGGCAGAUCAGAGAUGUAUCUAAGUUUAAUCUGGUCAAAUAGAGGUGUAUUUUUAAGACUAUCAAUAAUUCAAGAACGAAACGAACAAUUUGUGUCAAGUUUAAGAGUGUUUUUGAAUCAAACUAAAGACUUUUUUUAUUCAAUUUCGUAUAGUUAAUUUAGUUUCACUUUUUAAGGUUAUAUGUGGUGGAAAACAUCUUGCUACAGAAGAAACAACAAAGUGUAUGAUUAAUCUGUUGAGGAAUCUUCUUAAAGAACUACCACCAGACACUUUGACAUCAGCAUGGUCAUUGAUAUUGCCUCAGCAAGAAAUGGAACUAAAAGCCAUUUUAUUUCCUGGAAUACUUCAUGUGGUACGUUUUCACAACAAAACAUUUUGUAUGCUUGACACUGAUACCAAUGAAAGCUCUCCCCCUUACUCUUUACCAUCCAAAAUUGUCAAACUUCUCGAGGAAGAACAUCAGAAAAAUAGUAUUAUUGUUCCACAAAUGUAACUUAUAAACCAUAAAUUGUUUCUUUAAAGUUUUGUAUCAUUUAAGUAUACAAGAUGAUACUAUAGUUGAUUUGUGGGGAAUUGAAUAUGUAAUUAUCAUUAGACUAUCUAUGUUAUAUCUUUUUACGAUUUAUCUAUCCAUUUGGAAUUUCUUUAUUUUAGUUUUUCAUAAGUUGAAAUUCAUAUUGUGGCAUAUAAUUUAAAUAAUUGUUUAUUAAAAUUAAACAAGUCAAACCUUAAGGACCUAAAAUCUAAACCUGACGGCAUAAACCCUGAGAGGUCGUUUGGUGUGAAAGAUAACUUUAAAUAGUCCUACGAUUAAAUUAUAAUGUCACUAAAUUUGUUGUUUGAUUGGCAAUUUCGUGAUAACUUAUCUCAUGAUUAAUAAUUAAUACAAGGAUAAAUUAUCCCUUCCCUUGGAUGGUACAAUAAUCCCGAGACAAUUUAUCACAAGAUAAAAUGACUAAAUGACAAAAAUAUCUUUUUAAACACUUUUUAUACAUUAUUUUUCAUAUUCAUGAACGGUAUUUUUGUAAGCAUAUAUGUUGUUCUUAAGAUUUAUUAUUUUGAAUACAACAAACCAAAAAUUCAAUAAAAAAUAAUAUCAAUAUAACUUAUUCCAUCAUAACUUGAAUUCAAACCAAACGACUGCAUCUUAGAGCCCAAAAAAUAAACUCAAAACUCAAAAUCAUAAACCCUAAACCUUAAACCUUAAACCUUAAACCUCAACCUUAAAGUCUAAACCAUAAACCCAAAACUCAAAAGCUUGGGGCCUAAAACCUAAGAUUUACGAUUUAUGGUUUAGGAUUUAGACCAGGGCUGUCUUAACCCCUAGGCCACUAAAGCCAUCGCUUGGGGCCCCAUAUAUUUUGGGGCCCCCAUUUAAAAAAACAAUUACUUAUAUAUGUUAUUUAAAAAAUAAUAAUUAUAUGUAUUAUGAGUGUUAUGAUUUCUACUAAGGAAAUUGCAUAUGAGAUGAAAAUAAACUGAAUUUCGUAAGAAACAAUUUGAUGAAAAUGUGGAUAGCGAAAUCACAAAGUCCUUUGAAGAACCUUUUAGAAUUGGUUGUUUUAUAUAUGUAGAGUAGAUCAAACUAUUUUUUCACUUCAAAAUAGAUUUAAAUCAAUUGAAACAUAUGGAAAUAUUUUUGAUUUCUUAUUUAGUGGUAAAAUAUUGAGAUCACUAGAUGAACAUAUGGAAAUAUUUUUGAUUUCUUAUUUAGUGGUAAAAUAUUGAGAUCACUAGAUGAACAUAUGGAAAUAUUUUUGAUUUCUUAUUUAGUGGUAAAAUAUUGAGAUCACUAGAUGAUGAGAAUUUUUUUUUUUGUCUUAACUUUGAACUUUCUUUAUCAUGUGAUAGUUAUUAUGAUAUUGAUGGUUUAGAUUCAUUUUUUGAAUUAAAAGUGUUAAGGGAAAUAAUACAAGUAGAAGAUAAUGAUCUAAUGAAAAUNNNNNNNNNNNNNNNNNNNNNNNNNNNNNNNNNNNNNNNNNNNNNNNNNNNNNNNNNNNNNNCUCAAUCAAAUAAAAAGACUUGAUUCUUUUCCAAAUACUCAUAUUGCUUAUAGAAUAAUGUUAACAGUUCCUGUAACUAUUGUCUCAGCCGAAAGAAGUUUUUUGCGAAAUUAAAAUUGAUUAAAUCUUCUUUAAGAUCAACAAUGUCUAAAGAGAGAUUGAAUGAAUUAGCUAUAUCAUCAUUUGAAAAGAAAUUAUUAAAACAAAUUGAUUAUAAUAUAGUACCUAAUGACUUCACAUCUAAAAUAGCUAGAAAAGUAGAUAUUAAAUAAAAGUAUUUAUGAUGAAAAAAAAUUAGGGCCUCUCUCUUAAGUUUCGCUUUAGGCCCCCAAUGUUGUUGAGUCGGUCCUGAUUUAGACUCUAAGAUUUAUAUUUUAGGGGUUAUAGUUUAUAGUUUUGACUAUAAGAUUUAGGAUUUAAGAUUUAUAAUUUUAGAGUUUAGGCCUUAUGGUUAAGUGUUUAGAGAUUAAGAUUUAUAAUUCAUGUAUAAAUUAAAAUAUAGGGUUUAGGUCCAAGGUUCAUAUGGUUAUUUGAGGUCAAUCUUUAAGAAUAAUUGAACCAAACCCAUUUGAACCCAAAAUAAAUUUGAACGCAUUGAUCAACUUCGUGAUUUUUUUCUACACUUUUGACUCUUCAUCACCUUUCUACAAUUACAAUUGUUUCACAAAUCCUUUUUUAAAAUCUUUCAAAACAUAAUUAUAAAAAAUAUCUUUGUAAAUCCAUUCUAUUUCCUAAUCCCUUUCAUAAAACAAAUAAUCAAAAUAGCCUCAGAAGGAAGGCAGUAGUAUAGUCAUAAUCAUUAUUUUGAUCAUUAACGCAAAUCUACUCAUCAUCGGCAAAAAAAUAAUAAUUAAAAGAAACAAAAAAACAAUUAUUAUUGUAAUGCUUGAAAGUUUUGCAAUUUUCCUAAUUCAAAAUUAUUGACUAUCGAUUUUGAUAAUGUAUUUCUCAAAAUUGUUGUGUGAAAUACAUGAGUAAAAUUUUGACUAUCAAUAAUUUUGACAUGAGUAAAAUACAUCUGAACUCAAAAUUCAAAAUACAUUUCAAAACUCAAAAUUAAGAGUCAAAUUUGAGCAUAAAAUUUAGGACUUGGAAUCUAAACUCAAAAUUUGAAAGCAUAUACCUUAGGGCAUAGACCCUAAACCUUAAGAGCCUAAACUCUAAACAUUAUGUCCAAUUUUAUGAACCCUAAAUCUUGAACCUUAAAUCCCAAGUCAUAAACCCUAAAAUCUUAGAACUUAACCCAAAACUCUAAACCUUAAAGCCUAAACCUUAAACCUUAAACCUUUAAAUCCUAAAUCUUAAUGUUUAGGAUUUAUGAUUUAUGGUUUUAGAUUUUAAAAUUUAAGAUUUAGAGUUCAGACAAUAUGGUCAAGAGUUUUAAGUUUUAUGAUAUAAGAUUUAGGCCUUAAAAUUUGAAGUUUAGAUUUUAACAAUUAGCCUCUAAACUUUAAGAUUAAAAAUACAGCAUUUGAACAUUAUUAUAAUAAAUAAUUAUGUAGUACCCCAACGUCCAAAUACACCACAAAAAUUAGAUGCAGAGGAUAGCGAGGGGAACAUUAUUAUAGCUUCACUUGCUAAAGUACCACACCAUAAAAGUGUAAUCCACAAAAUAUAAUUAGCAAAGCAUAGAACAAUUAACAACAACAUACCCAAUAAAAUCCCCACAAAUCCACGCAAACCUUAUCAUUAUCUCGUAAAAAAAAAUAAAAAAAUAUGAAAUUAAUUCAGUCCCUUAGAUGUUCAAUUAAUUGCGAUCAUCUUCGCAAAUCAUUACAGGUCUGUAACUGUAAAAAAUUAAUCAUCAUUGUUGUUUCAGAAAAGGGUCAAAAUUGUCCCCGAACUAUAUGAAAUAGACCAUUUAUACCCUUCGUUACAUUUUGGGAUCAAAAAUGCCCCUGCUGUUAUCCUAAGAGACCACAAAUACCCUCAAGAGUUAACACCCCAAAUUUUUGUUGAUGUGGCAAGCCACAUGGGACUAAUCCUUCCACCUAAGAGUUGCCAACUAGGAUUCACUACAAAAGAACUAGACUUUUAGCGGCAAUAACAGUCGCCACAAAAGCCCAGAAAAUCGUCACUAAAAGUUUUUAACAUUAAAUUCUAAUUUUGUGUUUUUUUCUUCAUUGUUUUUAAAAAACCAAAUAUGAUAUCGAUUAAGUAGGAGUUUGAAGACACUAUAUGUUUUAUUUUUAUGUCAUAUGUAAAUGUAUAAAAUGUACAAUGAUGCAUUAUAUAUAUAUAGUAGGAGAUUUGAAUCGAGAAGUAAUUUUGAUGAUUUUUCGUAAUAAUAUUGGAUAUUUUUAAUAUUGAUAUUGCAAAGUUAUUUAUUUUAGAAAAUUAGGUUGCAAUCGAAAAUUAAUUAUCAUAUUAUUUUGUUGAAAAAAUAGGUUUUACUAGCGAAUGGUUGUUGGAGCGUUAGUCGCCACUAAAAAUCACUCAUAACCUUUAGUGGCAAUAUUUUGAGGUUUUGUGGCGACUUUGUCGCCACUAAAAGUCAAGUUCUUUUGUAGUGAAUCUUAGUUGGCAAUGCUUAGGUGGAGGGAUUAGUCCCAUGUGACUUGCCACGUCACUAAAAAAUUGGGGUGUUUAACUCUUGAGGGUAUUUGUGGUCUCCUGGGAUAACUGCGGGGGUAUUUUUGAUUCCAAAAUGUAAUUGAGAGUAUAAGUGGUCUAUUUCGCAUAGUUCAGGGUCAAUUUUGACCCUUUUCCGUUGUUGUUUUCAUAUACAAUGAUUAGAAUAAAAUAUAUAUAAAAAUUUUUGAUGAACAAACUCAGUCCCUUAGAUGUUCAAUUUUUUGCGAUCAUUUUCGGCAAAUCAUUACAGGUCUGUAACUGUAAAAAAUUACUCAUCAUCGUUGUUCAUCAUCAAAAAACUAUUAUGAAAAAAAUUAAAAAAAAAGUUGUGGCUGCACCAAUUGUUCUCCACAGAUUAAAUUAAAUGAAGAGAAAGAUGAAAAAGGAACAACACACUUAUUAAUGCUUCAAGGGAACGAGUUGGUCAAAAAUAAAUUAUUUCUUGCCAACCAGAUUAAAGAAGCAUAUAACUCAAAAUAUAUACACAAAAAUAAUAAAUUUAUUUAGAGUUUAGAAGAUAUAUCACCAUCUAGCUGGAUAUGAUUAUUAUGCAUAAUGAAUAAAGGAAACAGCUUAAGAGAAAAACUGGUCCGUUAGAUCUCCUCUUUCAAUCGCAAUCUUCUAUUUCUGCACAGCAAAGAAACACUUCUCAAAUAUAUUUUACGAAAGAUUUAACAGGUAAAAGUGUACAAGCUCAAAAUAUGAUGCAAUUAAUCUUGAGUCAGUUACCUGUUAAACCAGUGUUGCCGCUUUUUAUAUGCAAGGGGUAAAUAAGGACCUUGAGCUCUGCAUUUGCAUAUCCUUCUUGCACUUCUUGAAUGUCCUUGACUGAUUUUUCAAGAGACUCACCACAUCGUUUCACUUCAACGUAUCAGAGCCUAAGGGCUCAAAUCUUUAGAUUCUCUAAAACAAAAUUUCAAUAAGGGGUCUACAGUAUAAAUAAAAUUUUAAUAUUCAAACAUUUCAAUAUUAUUUAAAUUAAUUUACCUUAGAGAUUGACAUAAUUCGAAAACCAAAUACCGAAUAAAUAAUUCAUAAAACUGAAAUUAUCAUCGCCGGACCAGUGACCACUAGUACCUCCAAACAACUCAAAAACAAACUACCACCCGAUCACACCAAAUCGGUCGUUACAUGAAAUGAGACAUUUCAUGGUAACGAUGGAUCUAAAUGAUACAAUACAAUAAAAUUUAAGUAACAAUCAACAUAAGUAUUGUAUUUAAACUAACUAUACAAUAUAAUGGGUAACAACCAUCCAAACAAGGUGUUAAUGUAAAAGCAUACAGAAUAUCAUAUAAUAAAGUUCAUAUAUCAAUGCAAUGGAUCCAUUGAAAGAAAGUAUUUUGAAGUACACACAAAACUCAAAAACAAGAAAAUUAUCCAUCUAGCUGGAUAUGAUUAUGCAUAAUGAACAGAGGAAACAGCUUAAGAGAAAAACUGGUCCGUUAGAUCUCCUCUUUCAAUCGCAAUCUUCUAUUUCUGCACAGCAAAGAAACACUUCUCAAAUAUAUUUUACGAAAGAUUUAACAGGUAAAAGUGUACAAGCUCAAAAUAUGAUGCAAUUAAUCUUGAGUCAGUUACCUGUUAAACCAGUGUUGCCGCUUUUUAUAUGCAAGGGGUAAAUAAGGACCUUGAGCUCUGCAUUUGCAUAUCCUUCUUGCACUUCUUGAAUGUCCUUGACUGAUUUUUCAAGAGACUCACCACAUCGUUUCACUUCAACCAUCUUUAGAGUAGCAAUAUGUCCAACCAUGGAAGGAAUUUCUCGAAGAUUAAAGCAGUUUUCUAUAAGAAUGUGUUCGAGGUUGGGAAAGGACUCAUCUGAUGCAUUCCAUGUUGUUAUUGUAAGGGAUCUUAAUUUAAGAACCUUGAGGUUCAGAAACUCUUCAUCUUCGAUCUCCCAUUUGUCCUGCUGAAAUGCUCUAUGUUCCAACUUGAGAACCACUAAAUUUGGUAAUCUUCCGAUAUUAGACAGUUCACUUUGUGGCAACAAAACAUCUGAUAGAGUUAGCUUUGUUAGUGUCGCGGGCAAGGUGAAAUUCAAAAUCUUACCGUUUACACUGAGUGUUUCAAGUUGAAGAGCAUGUAAUUUGAGUUUGAGAGGCUCUUUACAGUGGCAUUUGAGCUUUCGCAGUCUGCUUGCCUUCUUGACCAUGUAGUCUACUAGCUCAUUAGUGAGAGACACUGUGGCCAAGGUCUCUAUGUUUGUCGAUGUCUGAGGAAUGCGUCCAUCAAAAGAUGCAACAGGUUCAACAUGUACAUGCUUUAGCCUUGGCAUAUUCCAGAUGGUCAUCGGUAAAAUUGUGCCACUGCCUACUGUUAUUACAAGCAAUACCUCUAGGUUUGAAAGGUUCGAUAUCCAUAAUGGCAUAGAUACCAUAUAGCCUUUGAUUCCUAAGUACUUCAAAUGGAUCAGCUCUUUUGAUCUCUGGAAUGAACUCUCCGACAUAGUACAUUCCAUUUGUAGUACUCUUAAUAGUUUAAAGUUCUCAAGAUCAAGAAAUUCCUGGCAGCCAGAUUUCGGGGGUCUGAAGAAUGCAGAUCGAACUUGCAUGUUUCCAAUCUUCCCUGCCCAAUAAAGGCUAUGAUGAAUGCAAAGCCUCCGGUGCUCAUAAAAGGAACUAGACAAAUCAGUCUUCCCGGUGCUUGUUAGUUGCAUAAACUUCUCUUCCUUAGACUUUGUCAUGCAAAAAUCAUGUAACAUAUCAUGAAUGCGGCAUGUUCUGACUCCUCCAGUGGACUUUCUCUUGCUCACCAUUAUCAAGCUUCUACCAAUGAGAUCAUUCAGUAAACUUUCUACAGCAAGGUGUAUACUUUCUACCUCUAUGUUUGGCACCAAUCCCUCAAUAGUCCAUAACCACUCCAAGUUCGAGAGUGGAAUUUCUUCAUCCUUUUGAAAUGAUGCAAAAUAUAGAAGGCAGGGUUUGAGAUGAUCAGGCAAGUGCUUGUAGCUCAGUUCUAUAACCUCCAUGCACUCUUUUGCACUAGUAACAGUAUCUAACUUUAUACUCUCUGCGACUCUUCUCCAACUUUCCUCAUUUUCGCUUAUCCCAGACAAAACUCCAGCAACCAAAAUCACAAGGAGAGGUAGUCCUUUACACUUACUCGCGAUGUUUGCUCCUACUUUUGAUAGGUCUGGUGGGCAAGUUUGUUCCUUGAACAGCUUGAUUUUCAUUAGUUCCCAACUUUCAUUUUCGUCAAGAAAACGAAGUUCAAGAGGUUCUCUUCCACGUGUAAUGUUGGAAGCCACAUCAAUGUUUCGGCUGGUUAAUAAAAUCCUGCUUCCGUUUCCAUUAUCCGGUAAGCAUCUGUGCAAGUAUUUCCAUGUGUCAACACUCCAUAUGUCAUCAAUGUAGAGAAGGUACUUCUUUCUUAACAGAAAUUUCCGCAAAGCAUCUGCUGGAUCUUUCUCAUUCUGUUUGUUAGAACAUUUGACUUGAUUCAAAAUUCCGAGCAGCAACUUUCUUCUGUCAUAAGUUUGGGAAACACAACACAUAGCUUGGACGUCAAAAUGACGCCGCAUUUUCUUAUCAUGAAAAACUUUCUUUGCUAGUGUAGUUUUUCCAAGACCAGGCAUCCCUACGAUAGAAACAACAUCCAAGUACUUUGGUCCUAUAGUGAGCUGUUCGAUUAGCAAGUCAGUCUCAUCCUUAAAACCCACCAUUACCUCAUCAUGUUGUGUAGUCUCAACUACUGGUCUGACAGGAUUUGGUCCUUGUUCUUCAAUAGGGACUUCAACUUCUCGCGUAAUCGUAGCAUGGAACUCUUUCAAAUGAUCCCUUACAACCUUAGUUUCUGUUGUGAUCUUACAUAACAAAUGUAGAUACCAAACAGGAUAAUCUCCGGUAACCAGGCAAUCAAUUAUGCAUUCUGCCUGAUAUGCUAGAGAUAUGACUUCUGUCCAUAGAUCAUGUUUCUUCACCUCCUCAAACUCAUGGUUUUUCUUCUCAACUUCCUUCAAGAAGAAUCUUAAGAGAUAUAACUCUUCC
rnacentral:lncRNA from 1 species